CCCUCUUCGACCUGCCCAAGGCCUUCUGGGAGAAGGAGACCCAGGAGCUGAGGACGUACUUUACCCAGCAGGUGGGAGCCGACCUCCCCCAUCAGGUGGAGGGAGAGCUGAAGGCUCUGGAGGACAGGAUCAGGAAUUGAGAGGUGGAGGGACCAGAUGAUUCAGAGAGAGAAGAGAGAAAGUAUUGACUAUUGGACAUUAUACUACACUGAUGCUGCAAUAUUGUGGGGAUG